GACGAACGCUGGCGGCGUGCUUAACACAUGCAAGUCGUACGGUAAGGCCCUUUCGGGGGUCCACGAGUGGCGAACGGGUGAGUAACACGUGCGUAACCUGCCCACAACUUUGGGAUAACGCUAGGAAACUGGUGCUAAUACUGGAUAUGUGCUCCUGCUGCAUGGAGGGGGUUGGAAAGCUCCGGCGGUUGUGGAUGGACUCGCGGCCUAUCAGCUUGUUGGUGGGGUAGUGGCCUACCAAGGCGGCGACGGGUAGCCGGCCUGAGAGGGUGACCGGCCACAUUGGGACUGAGAUACGGCCCAGACGCCUACGGGAGGCAGCAGUGGGGAAUAUUGCACAAUGGGCGCAAGCCUGAUGCAGCAACGCCGCGUGCGGGAUGACGGCCUUCGGGUUGUAAACCGCUUUCAGCAGGGACGAAGCUUUUUGUGACGGUACCUGCAGAAGAAGCACCGGCUAACUACGUG
rnacentral:rRNA from 1 species